AGUCAGUAUUGCUUUCUAACAGCUAUCAUGAUGCUGCACUGUUUACUUCUGUUAUCAACAGUGGUGGGUGACAGUGUUCAGGAGGGAAUUACAUCAGCAACUAGUGCAGUGCAUGCUUUGGAGGGCAGCAGCGUCACACUGUCAUGCAACUACACUACUUCUGAUGCUGGGGCCGAUCUACACUGGUAUCGCCAAUACCCCGGCUCAAAACCUGAAUUCCUCAUCCUCAUCAACAGAUACAAAGAGAGAGCAGAGAAAGAGGCUUUUAUUGUUAAACAUGACAAUGCAAACGGCCUUGUGCAUCUGGAGCUCUCCUCUGCUGAAGUGACAGACUCUGCUCUGUACUACUGUGCCCUGAGGCCCACAGUUACAGGAAACCCAUAAACUCUGUACAAAAACCUGACAGCGCAA